rnacentral:rRNA from 1 species
GAAGGCCCUAUGGGUCGUAAACUUCUUUUACAGGGGACAAAUAUCCAGUUCGUGAACUGGAUUGAUGGUACUCUGAGAAUAAGGGUCGGCUAACUUCGUGCCAGCAGCCGCGGUAAUACGAAGGACCCGAGCGUUAUCCGGAUUUAUUGGGUUUAAAGGGUGCGUAGGCGGACAUGCAAGUCAGUGGUGAAAUCUCUCUGCUCAACAGAGAAACUGCCAUUGAAACUAUGUGUCUUGAGUACAUUUGAGGCGGGCGGAAUGUGUCAUGUAGAGGUGAAAUUCUUAGAUAUGACACAGAACACCAAUUGCGAAGGCAGCUCGCUAAACUGUAACUGACGCUGAGGCACGAAAGCGUGGGGAUCAAACAGGAUUAGAUACCCUGGUAGUCCACGCCCUAAACGAUGAUUACUCGAAGUGUGCGAUACACAGCACGCCUCUGAGCGAAAGCAUUAAGUAAUCCACCUGGGAAGUACGACCGCAAGGUUGAAACUC